rnacentral:rRNA from 1 species
UACGUAGGGUGCGAACGUUGUUCGGAAUCACUGGGCAUAAAGAGCACGUAGGCGGUCUAGAAAGUCCUCUGUGAAAGCCCCCGGCUUAACCGGGGAAUUGCAGGGGAUACUGCUGGACUAGAGUACAGGAGGGGGGAGCGGAAUUCCUGGUGGAGCGGUGAAAUGCGUAGAUAUCAGGAGGAACGCCGGCGGCGAAAGCGGCUCUCUGGUCUGUUACUGACGCUGAGGUGCGAAAGCUAGGGGAGCAAACGGG